UGCAGUCGAACGGAAUCCUGGUGUAGCAUACACCGGAAGAUUUAGUGGCGAACGGGUGAGGAUCACGUGAGAAACGUGCCCCAGACUCUGGGAUAACAAUUGGAAACGAUUGCUAAUACCGGAUGACGUCGGAGAAUCGCAUGAUUCACUGACGAAAGAUAUUUCGGUUUGGGAGCGUCUCGCGGCCUAUCAGCUUGUUGGUGGGGUAAUGGCCUACCAAGGCAACGACGGGUAGCUGGUCUGAGAGGAUGAUCAGCCACACUGGGACUGAGACACGGCCCAGACUCCUACGGGAGGCAGCAGUGGGGAAUCUUGCGCAAUGGGCGAAAGCCUGACGCAGCAACGCCGCGUGCGGGAUGAAGGCCUUCGGGCUGUAAACCGCUUUCAGCAGGAACGAAAAUGACGGUACCUGCAGAAGAAGGAGCGGCCAACUACGUGCCAGCAGCCGCGGUGACACGUAGGCUCCAAGCGUUGUCCGGAUUUAUUGGGCGUAAAGAGCUCGUAGGCGGUUGAGUAAGUCGGGUGUGAAAACUCUGGGCUUAACCCGGAGACGCCAUCCGAUACUGCUCUGACUAGAGUUCAGGAGGGGAGUGGGGAAUUCCUAGUGUAGCGGU
rnacentral:rRNA from 1 species